AGCGUAGGCGGUUUGGUAAGUCAGAUGUGAAAUCCCGGGGCUCAACCCCGGAACUGCAUCCGAUACUGCCGGACUUGAGUAAUGGAGGGGUAGCUGGAAUUCUCGGUGUAGCAGCGAAAUGCGUGGAUAUCGAGAGGAACACUCGUGGCGAAGGCGAGCUACUGGACAUUUACUGACGCUGAGGCUCGAAGGCCAGGGUAGCGAAAG
rnacentral:rRNA from 1 species